UACGAAGGGGGCUAGCGUUGUUCGGAAUUACUGGGCGUAAAGCGCGCGCAGGUGGUCUUUCAGGUCAGUGGUGAAAGCCCGGAGCUCAACUCCGGAAAUGCCAUUGAAACUGUAAGACUUGAGGAUGAGAGAGGUGAGUGGAAUUCCCAGUGUAGAGGUGAAAUUCGUAGAUAUUGGGAAGAACACCGGUGGCGAAGGCGGCUCACUGGCUCAUAUCUGACGCUCAGGCGCGACAGCGUGGGGAUCAAACAGG
rnacentral:rRNA from 1 species